rnacentral:rRNA from 1 species
AUUGAACGCUGGCGGCAAGCCUAACACAUGCAAGUCGAGCGGAUGAAGGGAGCUUGCUCCUGGAUUCAGCGGCGGACGGGUGAGUAAUGCCUAGGAAUCUGCCUGGUAGUGGGGGAUAACGUCCGGAAACGGGCGCUAAUACCGCAUACGUCCUGAGGGAGAAAGUGGGGGAUCUUCGGACCUCACGCUAUCAGAUGAGCCUAGGUCGGAUUAGCUAGUUGGUGGGGUAAAGGCCUACCAAGGCGACGAUCCGUAACUGGUCUGAGAGGAUGAUCAGUCACACUGGAACUGAGACACGGUCCAGACUCCUACGGGAGGCAGCAGUGGGGAAUAUUGGACAAUGGGCGAAAGCCUGAUCCAGCCAUGCCGCGUGUGUGAAGAAGGUCUUCGGAUUGUAAAGCACUUUAAGUUGGGAGGAAGGGCGGUAAGUUAAUACCUUGCUGUUUUGACGUUACCAACAGAAUAAGCACCGGCUAACUUCGUG